UGGGCUUGACAUCUUGGGGAAAGCCGUGAGAAACCACGGCCCCUCUUCGGAGUCCCAAGACAGGUGCUGCAUGGCUGUCGUCAGCUCGUGUCGUGAGAUGUUGGGUUAAGUCCCGCAACGAGCGCAACUCCCGCUCCCAGUUGCUAACAGGUCAAGCUGAGGACUCUGGGAGGACUGCCGGUGCCAAACCGGAGGAAGGUGGGGAUGACGUACCAGUAUCGGAA
rnacentral:misc_RNA from 1 species